UACAGGCGGCCUGGGGAGCGAUUUGCGC
rnacentral:sRNA from 1 species